rnacentral:rRNA from 1 species
GAGCUGUUGGGGGUGGCACAAGCUAGGGGGUAGCGACUGUUUACCAAAAACACAGGAGCGUGCGAAGGCGUAAGCCGCUGUAUACGCUCUGACGCCUGCCCGGUGCCGGAAGGUUAAGAGGAUCCGUUAGCUUCGGUGAAGCGGUGAAUUUAAGCCCCGGUAAACGGCGGUGGUAACUAUAACCAUCCUAAGGUAGCGAAAUUCCUUGUCGGGUAAGUUCCGACCUGCACGAAUGGCGUAACGACUUCCCCACUGUCUCGGCCAGGAGCCCGGCGAAAUUGCAGUACGAGUAAAGAUGCUCGUUAAGCGCAGAAGGACGAAAAGACCCCGGGACCUUUACUAUACCUUGGUAUUGUCGUUAGGUGUGGAUCGUGUAGCAUAGGCGGGAGGCUGUGAAGCGUGGGCGCUAGCUUGCGUGGAGUCGAUCAGUGAAAUACCGCUCUUUCCAUAUCUGGCGUCUAACCUCGACACGUUAUCCGUGUUAGGGACAGUGCCUGGCGGGUAGUUUAACUGGGGCGGUUGCCUCCUAAAGAGUAACGGAGGCGCUCAAUGGUCCGCUCAGCCCGGUUGGCAAUCGGGUGUUGAGUGUAAUCGCACAAGCGGGCUUGACUGUGAGACUGACGGGUCGAGCAGGGACGAAAGUCGGAGAUAGUGAUCCGGUGCCGGCGUACGGACGUGGCAUCGCUCAACGGAUAAAAGGUACCCCGGGGAUAACAGGCUGAUCAUUCCCAAGAGUCCAUAUCGACGGGAUGGUUUGGCACCUCGAUGUCGGCUCGUCGCAUCCUGGGGCUGGAGCAGGUCCCAAGGGUUCGGCUGUUCGCCGAUUAAAGCGGCACGCGAGCUGGGUUCAGAACGUCGUGAGACAGUUUGGUCUCUAUCCUCUGCGCUCGUUGGAAUGUUGAGGAGACCUGCCCAUAGUACGAGAGGACCUGGGUGGACGAACCUCUGGUAUGCCGGUCGUCACGCCAGUGGCGCUGCCGGUUAGCUACGUUUGGAAGGGAUAACCGCUGAAAGCAUCUAAGCGGGAAGCCUGCUCCAAGAUUAGCAUUCCUUGCACUUUGUGUGUGAGCCCCCAUGUAGAACACGUGGUUGAUAGGCUGGAUGUGGAAGCCCUGUAAGGGGUGGAGCUGACCAGUACUAAUGGGCGAUUGUGA